AUGUGGCAUCGGCACGACGGUGUGGUGUGGAGCACGCUCGGACCGCCCCACCUUCUCCCUCCUGCGGUGACGAAGACCGUGUUCAGCGUGGAGUCGGCGUACCUGCACGAUGGCGAUGCCGGGGCCUCGAAGAUGUUGAUGGUUCGUCGGACCAGAGAGGUCCAUUACAAUGGCAGGCGGCUGGGACGAAGUCGCAGCAGGGGCGGCGACAUUAAAGCUAGAUUUGGCGGCGGUGGAGGGGGAAGAGGGUCAGGAACGGGAAGACUGUGGGAGAGUGUGAAAACCGUGUGGUAUGGAGUUUUGAUUCAGGUGUUGGGAGUCCAACGUAUCAUAUGUCUAAAAAUCUUACUCCAUCUCUCAAUUUGCAGUCGACUUGAGAGAUUUUGGUUCGGAUACGUCUGA
rnacentral:rRNA from 1 species